rnacentral:rRNA from 1 species
AGCGUUGUUCGGAAUCACGGGGCGUAAAGGGCGCGUAGGCGGCCGAUCAAGUCGGGGGUGAAAGCCUGUGGCUCAACCACAGAAUUGCCUUCGAUACUGUUUGGCUUGAGACCGGAAGAGGUUAGUGGAACUGCGAGUGUAGAGGUGAAAUUCGUAGAUAUUCGCAAGAACACCAGUGGCGAAGGCGGCUGACUGGUCCGGUUCUGACGCUGAGGCGCGAAAGCGUGGGGAGCAAACAGG